GGCCCGGUGGCGGAAGUGUCUACGCGGGGGUGGUGCAACGCUCCUUAUCCUGGUUCGAGUCCAGGCUGGGCCUCCA
rnacentral:tRNA from 1 species